rnacentral:rRNA from 1 species
UUUUAUUUGAGAGUUUGAUCCUGGCUCAGGAUGAACGCUGGCGGCGUGCCUAACACAUGCAAGUUGAGCGAUUUACUUCGGUAAAGAGCGGCGGACGGGUGAGUAACGCGUGGGUAACCUACCCUGUACACACGGAUAACAUACCGAAAGGUAUGCUAAUACGGGAUAAUAUAUUUGAGAGGCAUCUCUUAAAUAUCAAAGGUGAGCCAGUACAGGAUGGACCCGCGUCUGAUUAGUUAGUUGGUAAGGUAACGGCUUACCAAGGCGACGAUCAGUAGCCGACCUGGGAGGGUGAUCGGCCACAUUGGAACUGAGACACGGUCCAAACUCCUACGGGAGGCAGCAGUGGGGAAUAUUGCACAAUGGGCGAAAGCCUGAUGCAGCAACGCCGCGUGAGUGAUGAAGGCCUUCGGGUCGUAAAACUCUGUCCUCAAGGAAGAUAAUGACGGUACUUGAGGAGGAAGCCCCGGCUAACUACGUGCCAGCAGCCGCGGUAAUACGUAGGGGGCUAGCGUUAUCCGGAUU